rnacentral:rRNA from 1 species
GGACCCGCACAAGUAGUGGAGCAUGUGGUUUAAUUCGAAGAUACGCGCAGAACCUUACCAACACUUGACAUGUUCGUCGCGACUUUAAGAGAUUAAAGUUUUCGGUUCGGCCGGACGAAACACAGGUGCUGCAUGGCUGUCGUCAGCUCGUGUCGUGAGAUGUUGGGUUAAGUCCCGCAACGAGCGCAACCCUCACUUUUAGUUGCCAUCAUUAAGUUGGGCACUCUGAAAGAACUGCCAGUGAUAAGCUGGAGGAAGGUGGGGAUGACGUCAAGUCCUCAUGGCCCUUACGUGUUGGGCUACACACGUGCUACAAUGGUAUCUACAACAGGAAGCAAGACUGCGAAGUUAAG